rnacentral:tRNA from 1 species
GCGGCCUAGAGCGGGAGCGUCCGGUAGGCGGCCUCGACGGCCGCCUGGCCAUAGCGGCGUUCGAGCCGCCGGAUCGCG